rnacentral:rRNA from 1 species
GAUGAACGCUAGCGGGAGGCCUAACACAUGCCAGCCGAGCGGUAUUGUUUCUUCGGCAAUGAGAGAGCGGCGUACGGGUGCGUAACACGUGUGCAACCUGCCUUUAUCUGGGGGAUAGCCUUUCGAAAGGAAGAUUAAUACUCCAUAAUAUAUUGAACGGCAUCGUUUAAUAUUGAAAGCUCCGGCGGAUAGAGAUGGGCACGCGCAAGAUUAGCUAGUUGGUGAGGUAACGGCUCACCAAGGCGAUGAUCUUUAGGGGGCCUGAGAGGGUGAUCCCCCACACUGGUACUGAGACACGGACCAGACUCCUACGGGAGGCAGCAGUGAGGAAUAUUGGUCAAUGGGUGCAAGCCUGAACCAGCCAUCCCGCGUGAAGGACGACUGCCCUAUGGGUUGUAAACUUCUUUUGUAUAGGGAUAAACCUACCCUCGAGAGGGUAGCUGAAGGUACUAUACGAAUAAGCACCGGCUAACUCCGUG